rnacentral:tRNA from 1 species
GCGCUUGUAGCUCAGCUGGAUAGAGCAACUGCCUUCUAAGCAGUGGG